rnacentral:misc_RNA from 1 species
GGAACCAGUUUGCAUAUUUCAGAGCCCAGAGCUCUUAUCCUCGUACAAGAUGAACUCAAUUUUUGGAGUUGUGGACGCUGAAGAGAGUCUAAUCAGUUGCAUUGUUCUUAGAAUUUUUGUCAGCUAGAUAUCUUUUGGAUCCACUUCACAACGAAUUUUGGCUGCUUCUGGGGUUUAACUAACUUCCCUAUUUGUUCAGUUCAUCACCUGCAUUUCUUCUUCACCCUUUUCUUGUCAAGAAAACAUGGCCGAAGUCAUCCGGUUCUCUUCCUCUACCAGAAUUUUACCGUCAAGAGCAAACCCAUUUCAUUUUCAUCUGUCCCGCGACGUUUCCUUGUUCAGUUUAUGCCAAAAUUUCUCAUCCCCAAGCUUCAAAACACUUUCUUUACCUAAAAAAUUAGCGGCUUCUUAUUUUCCCGGGACUUUUCAUGUGUUUGGAGGGGAAAUCGGGGUGAUUAAUGCUUGGAGCGGAGAAGGAUCCUUGCAGGAGCUGGAUGACUCGCCUGUUUCUGUUGAGCUGGAACCUAUUUGUAGCGAGAGCCAAUUCGAUCGGGUCAUAGCAGAAGCACAGCAACUUGAAGAAUCGGUUAUUGUUGUUUGGAUGGCGAGUUGGUGCAGAAAAUGUAUAUAUUUGAAACCGCAAUUGGAAAAGUUGGCAGCUGAUUACUAUCCAAGAUUGCGAUUCUAUUGUGUUGAUGUCAAUAAUGUUCCCCAUAAGCUUGUUGCUUAUGCAGGAGUCACUGUAAGUCUCACAGUUCCAUAUAGUUUAUGUUUUCUGUAAUUGUCUUGCUGUCUAAUUUUAUAUUUUUGUAUUUGAACUGUCAAAGCCUCUAAUAUUUGGUUAUAGCUUAAUAGUUGAAAAGGCAUUCUUUUGUAGAGGAAUAGAAGAGGGAAUCAUUCCUUCUUGGAGCCUACUUAACUACAUAAAACUCCAACUUCUUGCUGAAAUCUAGUAAUGUUUGGGUUACACUCUUCUCUCUUUUUCUAAAUGCAAAUUCCUAUGUUGGACUAAUUGCUAUUACUAAAACUCUCAACUAAGGUUACAUUUUAAAUAGAUAACUUGCAUUUGCAAAUUUUCUAACUCCACUCGUCAAUGAUUCUAAACUCGGUAAGGUCAUGUAUAGCCAAUUCCAAGCAUGGAGAAAGCGGGGGGGCUGCAAUAAAUGACAGCCAGAGGCAGGGAGGAAGGCCAAACUUAUUGAACAUGAAAGAGGCAGGAAGAUAAGGGAUAGGCUCUGGCUCACAUGGGAUAAAGUAGAAAAGAAGGAUUGUAACAGCAGUAGAUCUUUCUAAAGAUGAAGCCCUAAACAGAUUUGAAUGGAGAAAAUGGAUCCAUGUGACCAACUACAAUUAGAUUGGGAAUUUGGGAUUAAAGUUUAGUUUAGCUAACUUGAACAUAUUAGAUAAAGACCUCUGCUGGUGUAACCAAAGAAUUCAUGAAUAUAACUCAAUGUACAUUCAUAUUUAUCUUUUUUGGCUUUAAGAAUUUGAUAUUCAUACACAAUUAUUGUGUAGGUUUGGAAAAAUUGCCAUUUAAAAUUCAUAUGUUAUGCCAAAUCCUUUUUGUGGUUGUUAAAUAAGCAUACCUCUAUGUUAGGUUUUGACAAGAAAUUUAGAUGAAUUUUUAAUAGAACCUUAACUGUAGGAUUACUGGCAAAAAAUAUGGAAAUCCAAUUAGAUUGUGUUUGGACUCUGGUGCAUAAAAUGGGUAGCUUAUUUAAGUCUUGA